CAGUCUUUCAUUGUGCUUGAGUUUCUCCACCAUAUGUGGGUUUGUUUUUUUAUGCAAUAUUUGUUAACCUGCUAACAACCAGCAGAUGUUAUUGCAUUGUCUCCUGGAAUCUUUGAGAAGGUAAAUGUUGCUCCAGUGCUCUUGUAUUUCAUCAGUUGGUGUCUUGUGUUACAGAAUUGAAAGGUCCAUAAUUGUCAUGAAUCCUCACUGUAGGAUAAAGGACUCCA
rnacentral:lncRNA from 1 species